rnacentral:hammerhead_ribozyme from 1 species
UCACUUCUGAGGAGUCCCACAAUAGGACGAAGCGGCCGUUCAGUGA